GACGUAGGGCGCGAGCGUGUCCGGAUUUAUUGGGCGUAAAGAGCUCGUAGGCGGCCUGUCGCGUCGGAUGUGAAAGCCCGGGGCUUAACCCCGGGUCUGCAUUCGAUACGGGCAGGCUGGAGUGUGGUAGGGGAGAUCGGAAUUCCUGGUGUAGCGGUGAAAUGCGCAGAUAUCAGGAGGAACACCGGUGGCGAAGGCGGAUCUCUGGGCCAUUACUGACGCUGGAGGAGCGAAAGCGUGGGGAGCGAACGG
rnacentral:rRNA from 1 species